UUGUUGGUAAGGUAAAAGCUUACCAAGGCUUCGAUCAGUAGCUGGUCUGAGAGGACGGCCAGCCACACUGGGACUGAGACACGGCCCAGACUCCUACGGGAGGCAGCAGUGGGGAAUUUUGGACAAUGGGGGCAACCCUGAUCCAGCCAUGCCGCGUGAGUGAAGAAGGCRUUCGGGUUGUAAAGCUCUUUCAGCCGGAACGAAACGGUUACGGUUAAUACCCGUGACUACUGACGGUACCGGAAGAAGAAGCACCGGCUAACUACGUGCCAGCAGCCGCGGUAAUACGUAGGGUGCGAGCGUUAAUCGGAAUUACUGGGCGUAAAGCGUGCGCAGGUGGUUUUGUAAGUCAGAUGUGAAAGCCCCGGGCUCAACCUGGGAACUGCGUUUGAAACUACAAGACUAGAGUGUGGCAGAGGGGGGUGGAAUUCCGCGUGUAGCAGUGAAAUGCGUAGAGAUGUGGAGGAACACCGAUGGCGAAGGCAGCCCCCUGGGUCAACACUGACGCUCAGGCACGAAAGCAUGGGGAGCAAACAGGAUUAGAUACCCUGGUAGUCCAUGCCCUAAACGAUGUCAACUAGUUGUCGGGCCUUUACGGGCUUGGUAACGUAGCUAACGCGUGAAGUUGACCGCCUGGGGAGUACGAUCGCAAGAUUAAAACUCAAAUGAAUUGACGGGGACCCGCACAAGCGGUGGAUUAUGUGGAUUAAUUCGAUGCAACGCGAAAAACCUUACCUACCCUUGACAUGUAUCGAAGCCCGCAGAAAAGCGGGGGUGCCCGAAAGGGAACGAUAACACAGGUGCUGCAUGGCUGUCGUCAGCUCGUGUCGUGAGAUGUUGGGUUAAGUCCCGCAACGAGCGCAACCCUUGUCAUUAAUUGCCAUCAUUUAGUUGGGCACUUUAAUGAGACUGCCGG
rnacentral:rRNA from 1 species